rnacentral:rRNA from 1 species
AUACGGAGGACGCGAGCGUUAUCCGGAUUCAUUGGGUUUAAAGGGUGCGCAGGCGGCCGUGCACGUCAGCGGUGAAAGCCCGGGGCUCAACCCCGGAAGUGCCGUUGAUACUGCGUGGCUGGAAUGCGGUCGAGGCGGGCGGCACGGGGCGUGGAGGGGGGAAAUGCGUAGAUAUGCCACAGAACGCCGAUAGCGGAGGCAGCUCGCCAGGCCUGCAUUGACGCUCGGGCACGAAAGCGUGGGGAUCGAACAGGAUUAGAUACCCUGGUAGUCCACGCCGUAAACGAUGGGCGCUCGUCGUCGGCGACAGACAGUCGGCGGCCAAGCGAAAGCGAUAAGCGCCCCACCUGGGGAGUACGGUCGCAAGGCUGAAACUCAAAUGAAUUGACGGGG